rnacentral:rRNA from 1 species
AGAGUUUGAUCCUGGCUCAGGAUGAACGCUAGCUACAGGCUUAACACAUGCAAGUCGAGGGGCAGCGAUGAAGAAAGCUUGCUUUCUUCAGGCGGCGACCGGCGCACGGGUGAGUAACGCGUAUCGAACCUGCCUCAUACUCGGGAAUAGCCUUGCGAAAGUAAGAUUAAUGCCCGAUGUUAUUAGGAUAUCACAUGAUGUUUUAAUUAAAGAUUUAUCGGUAUGAGAUGGCGAUGCGUCCCAUUAGUUUGUUGGCGGGGUAACGGCCCACCAAGACAUCGAUGGGUAGGGGUUCUGAGAGGAAGGUCCCCCACAUUGGAACUGAGACACGGUCCAAACUCCUACGGGAGGCAGCAGUGAGGAAUAUUGGUCAAUGGACGCAAGUCUGAACCAGCCAAGUAGCGUGCAGGAUGACGGCCCUCUGGGUUGUAAACUGCUUUUAGUUGGGAAUAAAGUGCACCACGUGUGGUGUUUUGUAUGUACCAUCAGAAAAAGGACCGGCUAAUUCCGUGCCAGCAGCCGCGGUAAUACGGAAGGUUCAGGCGUUAUCCGGAUUUAUUGGGUUUAAAGGGAGCGCAGGCGGACCUUUAAGUCAGCUGUGAAAUACGGCGGCUCAACCGUCGAACUGCAGUUGAUACUGGAGGUCUUGAGUGCACACAGGGAUACUGGAAUUCAUGGUGUAGCGGUGAAAUGCUCAGAUAUCAUGAAGAACUCCGAUCGCGAAGGCAGGUAUCCGGGGUGCAACUGACGCUGAGGCUCGAAAGUGCGGGUAUCAAACAGGAUUAGAUACCCUGGUAGUCCGCACAGUAAACGAUGAAUACUCGCGAUUUGCGAUACACAGUAAGUCGCCAAGCGAAAGCGUUAAGUAUUCCACCUGGGGAGUACGCCGGCAACGGUGAAACUCAAAGGAAUUGACGGGGGCCCG